GACGAACGCUGGCGGCGUGGAUUAGGCAUGCAAGUCGAACGGUAUCAUCCUUUCGGGGGUAAGAGAGUGGCGAACUGGUGAGUAACACGUAGGUUAUCUACCCUCAAGACGGGACAACCCAGGGAAACUUGGGCUAAUACCGGAUGUGAGCAACUUUUAGUUGUUUGAAAGGUGGCGUAAGCUGUCGCUUGGGGAUGAGCCUGCGUCCUAUUAGUUAGUUGGUGAGGUAACGGCUCACCUAGGCAAUGAUAGGUAGGCGGCCUUAACGGGUGGUCGCCCACACUGGGAUUGAGAUACGGCCCAGACUCCUACGGGAGGCAGCAGUCGAGAAUAGUCUACAAUGGUCGGAAGACUGAUAGUGCGACGCCGCGUGAACGAUGAAUCCCUUCGGGGUGUAAAGUUCUUUUAUAUGUGAGCAGUGCUUCUUAUAUUAACAGUAUGGGGAGAGAGAUAUUAGCAUAUGAAUAAGCAACGGCUAACUCCGUG
rnacentral:rRNA from 1 species